CAUAGAUGGAUAAUUACAUGCAUAGUUACAUUGAUAGUUACAUAGGCAGGUUAAUGUUGUUACACAAGUGUAGCAUGUAUGUAACUACCCAUGUAACUAUCAAACUGUAGUUACAUGGGUAGUUACAUGGAUAAUUAUAUGGAUAGUUACAUGGAUAGUUACAUGUAUAGUUACAUGCAUAGUUACAUGCAUAGUUAAUUACAUGGAUAGUUAUAUAGAUGGAUAGUUACAUGUAUAGUUACAUGUAUAGUUAUAUGCAUAGUUACAUGUAUAGUUACAUGAAUAGUUACAUAGAUGAAUAGUUACAUGCAUAGUUACAUAGUUACAUAGUUACAUAGAUAGUUACAUAAUUACAUAGAUGAAUAGUUACAUAGAUGGAUAGUUACAUAAAUAGUUAAGAGUGUAAUAUGAAAAACGUAAUAAAGAAAUAAGAGUGUAAUCUGGCUAUGUAACUACGAUGUUAUUACUCAAUUAAGAGUGUAAUAUGGAAAACGUUAUAAAGAAAUAAGACAUUUUCACCUUCAUUCAUAUGAUUUCAGUGGAUACUUAAUACAAUAACAAUAGUUUACCAAAAUGGAUACUUAAUACAAUAACAAUAGUUUACCAAACCAAAAAAGAACGUACAUCCUAGACUAAAGAGGUGUUAACCCCACUUUCUCUGCAUCAUAUCAAAAUAACCCAGAGCAGCAUUCUAUUUGAUUUAAGCUCCUUAUUGUUGAUUUUGUCAAACCUCUAUGUUCAACAACAUGGCUGACAAAUACAAAGAGAUUUAUGAAUCAGUUAUAACAUCAUGAUGACAAGUUGCUGAAGAAGUUUCAUAUGUGUGCUUAACUACAUAAACUUCAAUGUCAAAGCCUUCAGGUUCUUAUGGAGUGAACCCAGCUUUAUGGAAUGAACCCAGUUCAUAAUACCAUAAAAAUCAAAUCCUUCUGUUCUUCAGUUUAAUGGGGUGAACCCAGCUUCAUAAUGCCAUCAGAAUCAAACUACAGCUGGAAACCAUCAAAAAAUGAAACUGAUCAGCAAGCUUACAAAUCAUUGAUCAUUAUCACCAAGCAAGAUUAUAGAGAUAUAA
rnacentral:lncRNA from 1 species